rnacentral:lncRNA from 1 species
GCAGUCCAAGGGACUCUCAAGAGUCUUCUCCAACACAUUUCACGGUCCCACAGGGAUGCUCGAGUUGGUUCAGGGCUCGCCUGAUCCCACCUACGUGAGAGGUGGACCCAAGACACCCUGGUCUGCUUCUAACCUGUCUCCUCCUCCUCAGCCUUUUGUACCCAGUGCUUUACUGAAGCCCUGAGACCUCAGCCCGCAGACCUGCAGGCUCUGAGAUUAACCUAAUAAAACAGCUUUGGCAUCAUGUACAGGACCGCAGGCAGCAAGAAAUCUUUCUGUGAGUCAUCACAAUGGAGGCUCUCUGAAUGCCCAUGUUUUCCAUGAGCGAUCAGUCAGCACCGAGCUAUUUACACCUAGUGGAACAGCCUGAGAGGCCAGCAGAGGAGAUCCCACGAUGCACUGCAUUUAUCUCAUUUCUCCUUAUUUAUUGCAAAUAGAUGCAACCUUUCUUAUUUUGCGAAUAUGUUAAAAAUCACUACUAACUACUAUCAUCCCCUUUCAAAUAAAUUUCAAAAUACUAUUAUGCUGUUUGCACAGAGAAAGAAGAGCCACUAAGAUUCAGCAAACACUAGGUUUAAAGUGCUUUUGGCCCCAACAGAAGGACGGCGCUGGCUUUGUCUGGCUGGGGCCCAGGGGCUCCUAGACCAGUCAGGGCCCGGAAGCGCUGGGACCCAGGUCUUGUUCCUUUGCCGACAGCUGUGACUGACAGGCACCGGGGAGAGGACCGCCCCCUCCCCACAGGCCCCGCCCCCCAGAGGUGGGUGGGAGCUAAGUCCCCAAACCCCGCCCCCCGGAGCCUGCAGUGGGCUGAGUCCCAGCACACGGUCUCCUGAGAACAAGCGAGGCAGCCCUUGGGCUCCGGGUUCCUGUGAGGUCAGAUCAAACGUGCACACAUAGGCGUGGGGGUCUCACAGAGGCAGGAGCAGAGCAAGGGGGAGCCACACCCACAUCCAUUCAGCAGGGACCACACCCCCAGGCGUCCCAGCCAGCAGGUGGGCAUCUUGUUCCCCAACACCACUCCAGGUCACAAAGCCAUCAAGUUUCUUCCAAAAGAGCCCAAAGUCCAGCACGAUCACUGAUCCCCAGGUUAGGUCGGGGCCCUGGCCGGGGUGAAGAGAACCUCAGACAGUCACAGCAGAGAUGCUGAGUGAGCAGCUGGUCGCACCUGCAAACUGACUGAUGCAGC